rnacentral:rRNA from 1 species
GUGAGGAAUUUUCCGCAAUGGGCGAAAGCCUGACGGAGCAAUGCCGCGUGAAGGAUGAAGGCCUAUGGGUUGUAAACUUCUUUUCUCAGAAAAGAAUUAUGACGGUAUCUGAGGAAUAAGCAUCGGCUAACUCUGUGCCAGCAGCCGCGGUAAGACAGAGGAUGCAAGCGUUAUCCGGAAUGAUUGGGCGUAAAGCGUCUGUAGGUUGUUUAAAAAGUAUUCUGUCAAAGAUUAGGGCUUAACCCUAGAUAGGCAGAAUAAACUUUUAAGCUAGAGUUUGGUAGAGGCAGAGGGAAUUCCCGGUGGAGCGGUGAAAUGCGUAGAUAUCGGAAGGAACACCAAAGGCGAAGGCACUCUGCUGGGCCAAUACUAACACUGAGAGACGAAAGCGAGGGGAGCAAAUGGGAUUAGAAACCCCGGUAGUCC